rnacentral:rRNA from 1 species
AACGAACGCUGGCGGCAUGCCUAACACAUGCAAGUCGAACGAUCCCUUCGGGGAUAGUGGCGCACGGGUGCGUAACGCGUGGGAACCUGCCCUUAGGUUCGGAAUAACUCAGAGAAAUUUGAGCUAAUACCGGAUAAUGUCUUCGGACCAAAGAUUUAUCGCCUUUGGAUGGGCCCGCGUUGGAUUAGCUAGUUGGUAGGGUAAAGGCCUACCAAGGCGACGAUCCAUAGCUGGUCUGAGAGGAUGAUCAGCCACACUGGGACUGAGACACGGCCCAGACUCCUACGGGAGGCAGCAGUGGGGAAUAUUGGACAGUGGGCGAAAGCCUGAUCCAGCAAUGCCGCGUGAGUGAUGAAGGCCUUAGGGUUGUAAAGCUCUUUUACCCGGGAUGAUAAUGACAGUACCGGGAGAAUAAGCCCCGGCUAACUCCGUG